GACAGAGGAUGCAAGCGUUAUCCGGAAUGAUUGGGCGUAAAGCGUCUGUAGGUGGCUUUUUAAGUCUGCCGUCAAAUCCCAGGGCUUAACCCUGGACAGGCGGUGGAAACUACCAAGCUGGAGUACGGUAGGGGCAGAGGGAAUUUCCGGUGGAGCGGUGAAAUGCGUAGAUAUCGGGAAGAACACCAAAGGCGAAAGCGCUCUGCUGGGCCGAAACUGACACUGAGAGACGAAAGCUAGGGGAGCGAAUGGG
rnacentral:rRNA from 1 species